rnacentral:rRNA from 1 species
UACGUAGGGUGCGAGCGUUAAUCGGAAUUACUGGGCGUAAAGGGCGCGUAGGCGGCCUUCUAAGUCGGACGUGAAAUCCCUCGGCUUAACCGAGGAACUGCGUCCGAUACUGAAAGGCUUGAAUCCGGGAGAGGGAUGUGGAAUUCCAGGUGUAGCGGUGAAAUGCGUAGAUAUCUGGAGGAACACCGGUGGCGAAGGCAGGUCUCUGGGCCAUAACUGACGCUGAGAAGCGAAAGCAUGGGGAGCGAACAGG